GAAUAAACCAGGAAUGCAGGUGAUCUUCUUCCUACAUUUGCAAAUGUGGCAACUCCCUUGCUGCCUCCAUGUUCCUCAUGUGGUAUUUAUUGAUUUUUACAUUCAAAUGUAUGCAUAUGAACACAGAGCUCUCUCUUGAUAGGAUAAGGAGAAAUAGAUCAUACACUGAACAUAAAAAAGGAUAUUUGAUAGGGAGGAGAGGUAAUGUUGGCAUUGAUAAUUCAUCUGUCAAAUAUGCUUUUAUGUGUAUUGGUUUCUGUGUGUAAAUAUAGGAAUCAGCUGACAAACCUACCAGACGAGAAAACCCCCACAAGUAUCUGCUCUACAAACCAACCUUCAGUCAGCUGUACACAUUCUUAGCAGCAUCUUUUAAGGUACGUGUAAUACAACACUUUUUCCCAUGUGGGGAAAGUAUGCCCUGAGGGGAUCCAAGAGUCAUUCUUAUCUGAAUAUUUGAGUUAAGAGUUUAGGUAAAAUGUGGAAAAUGAAAAACUUUAGAAUAAUAGUCCUAAAUAUAAUAAAUAAAAACUUCAGAAUAUAUACAUAAAUGAAAUUUAUAAAUAUAUAAAUUUAUAUAUUUAUAAAUAUAUAAAUACAAACUUUAGAAUAUAGUUUUAAAUAUAGCUAUUUUUGGAAUGAAAAUUGCUUAUAAUUUGUAAAUGUUUCUGACCAUGAGUUAAUGAGAAUAUUGAUUAGUUGUCAUUCUCCAGCCUUCAGAUUUUUAUUGCUAAACUACUUUAGGUUUAGCAGUUAGUGCAAAACUGAAAAACAAGAGCAGGUUGCAUAGCAUGUCAUAUAUUCAGGCAACUUUCUGAAACUUUUUUUUUCAUUUACUGUGAGAAACAUUUUAAUCAUCUGAAAAAAAUGAUGAGAAAUGGUAGUAUGCUCUAGGUUUGUCUAGAGAAAUCUGUGGAGAGGUAUAGAACUGUGAUCAAGAUCUUUAUUUUUCCAUCCCACGUGCAGUGGCUCAUGCCUAUAAUCCUGGACACGUGGGUGGCUAAGGCAGGAAGAUCACAAGUUGGAGACCAGCCUCAGCAACUUAGCAAGACUGUGUCUCAAUAAAUAAAAAGGACUGGGUAUGUAGCUCAGUGGUAGAGCUCCCCUGGGUUUCAUCCUAAGUAUCAGGAAAAGAGCUUUAGUUCUGUACUUCAGGUUUUCAGAGAACAUUAUCUAAAUAGUGAGGGUUCUGAAGCAGAGAAUGUCUUGACAGCUUUUGGCAAGAGUUAUACGUUAGAGAUUCAUAAUGAACCUUAGCCAUGUAGAUAGUUCUAAAUCAGAACCAGCAAGUGACUUUUCCCUUGGAUAAAACAACAAUAUGUUACCUUACAUUCUUGUUUUCCCCACAACAUAAAAUGCCCAAUAAAACUGUGUUGCUUUUCCAUGUUUGUUGUUUUGUAUAUGUGAUUUUCUUUAAUUUCAGGAGCUGCCUGCCAAUAGUGUGCUUCUAAUUUACCUGUCAGCCACUGGCGUUUUCCCCACAGGUCGUUCUGAUAGUGAAGGUACAAUAAAGGAAUGCUCCCUGUCGUGAGCAGGGCUUGAAUUCUCUUUCUUUUCUACAAGACAUUGGCCCACAGCCCACAGACCACCUCACACUUUCUAAAGAGGCUUCCAGAUUUGAAAACUGGUUUAUUUGAAGUCCAUAAAUCAUCAGAAAAUUAAUUUAAAUGCAUGCUUCACUAUCAAAUUUGCCCAAAGCCUUAUGGAGUUUCAUGUUUUAAAGUGGAAAGGGGUAGCUGGGCGUGGGUGGCACACGCCUGUAAUCCCAGCAACUUGGAAGGCUUGAGGCAGGAGGAUCACAGUUCUAGGCCAGCCUCAGCAAUUUAGUGAGGUCCUAAGCAACUUAGUGAGACCCUGUCUCAACAUAAAAUGGACUGGGAAUGUGACUCAGUGGUUAAUCCUGGGUUCAAUCCCCAUUACCAAAAAAUAAAUAAAGUAGAAAAGGGUGAUGGAAUAAAAAGUCUAAUUAUUGACUUAAAGUGAGUGAUUUUUUUUUCCUGAGCCGUUAGUGCAUUAGAGGGUCUGGUCAGUGGCUACAUUAUGGCUGAAAGUCUUUGUAGAAAUCAGUGUACUUUUGUAACUGUGAAAGUUCAAGUCCUUGUUAUGCUUUUGUUUUCAGUCCUUUAUUUUGUUUUUAUGGAUUUAGUGUGUAAAAUAUUGGGAUGCUGUUUCAGAACAAAGCCUAAAAACUGUCCAAAUAUAUGAUCUAGAAAUUGGUCAGAAUAGAUGAUUAGCUUGGAUGUAAAUAAGGCAAUUAAAUCUUUGGGGAAAAACAAUUUCUUGACAUUUUAAACAUUUUCCUCCUCAUCUGUUUGUUGAAAUUUGCAUUCCUUUAUAAAGUGCAUGUCCCUGCCAUCUUCCUUGCAUGACCUACAGAUUGUCUUAAAAUGUUAAAAUGAAAACAAAGCAGAACAAAUCUCUAUAAUAUUUCCAUUGAUAUGUUUUAAAAGCAUAAAAUAUAAAACUUUGGCAGUGAUGUAAAAUUUUAAAGUACUUUAGUUCUUUUGUACAAUAAAAUUAGUAAUUUUACUUAUAAAUAACUUUUUCAUGUCUUAUGCCUUAUACUGUUUUCUGGGUUCCUGCUUGAUGUAUUGACCUUGAGAGAAAUUAUCCAUGCAUCCCACAAUUGUUGUUCUACUUAGACAAGAAUUGGCUAAUCCAUAUGACUAGGGGGAAAACUAGAACUCAAGUGACUGAUAUAAUAAUGAUAAUGGUAGAUUUUUUUCAUACACUGAAAUUUGGCAAUACAUAUCUCUAAAAGGCAGUUUUAGCAAUCAGAUUCUCCAAUUACAUUAAAAAUUUUCUCUAAAUGCUACAAUUAGUAGCUCAUUUAAAAUUAUAUGUAUUUUAAGAGAUUAAGACUUUAGUCUACAGUUAGGCAUAGUGGCACACACCUGUAACUGUAUUGACUCAGAUUGGGGCAGGAUUGCAAGUUUGAGACCAGCCUCAGCAAUUUAAUGAGAUCCAGUCUCAAAAUAAAAAGGACUGGAAAUGUAGCUGAUAAGUGCUCCUGAGUUCAAUUUUUAAUUGACCCCCCCCCAUCAGUCUACAACUAUUCUUUUUAAAAUAAUUGUUUUAAACCAGACAUUUAAACUUCGCUUGAAUUUUCUUUGUGUGUGUGUAUGUGGUACUUGCAAUUGAACCCAGGGUACUCUACUACUGAGAUAUAUUCCCUGGCUUUUUUAUUUUUAAUUUUGCGAAAGGGUCUUGGGAAUUUGCUGAGGCUGGCCUCAGGCUUAUAAUCCUCCUGCCUUAGUCUCCAAAGUAUCUAUGAUUACAUGUGUGUGCCACCAUGCCUAGCUAGAUUUUACUUGAAAUGUAAAAGUCAUUCUCAGUAUCCCAGGUCUCAUCCCUUUUACUACCUAAAUUAAUGGGAUGUAGUGUAUUCUAGUUUGUUUCUCUUUAUGUUGUUUGAAAAAAUUAUAAUAAGAUGAUUUCUUAAAACGUCAAAAUAGGCAAUAUAUUGAAAUCAUUUAAAUGUUGGAUUAAAUUAAAAUGUUAGAAAUAAUUGAAACACUUU
rnacentral:lncRNA from 1 species